GGACCAGCCAUUAAAGUUUUAGCGGUGUGAGAUGGUUUCGCGUUUGAUUAGUUAGUUGGUGGAGAUAACCAGCUCACCAAGGCGACGAUCAGUAGCCGGCUUGAGAAGAGUGAACCGGCCACACUGGAAAUUGAGACACGGUCCAGACUCCUACGGGAGGCAGCAGUGGGGAAUAUUGCACAAUGGAGGAAACUCUGAUGCAGCGACGCCGCGUGAGCGAAGAAGGCCUUCGGGUUGUAAAGCUCUGUCCUUGGUGAAGAUAAUGACGGUACCUAACAAGAAAGCACCGGCUAACUACGUGCCAGCAGCCGCGGUAAAACGUAGGGUGCAAGCGUUGUCCGGAAUUACUGGGUGUAAAGGGAGCGCAGGCGGACCGGCAAGUUGGAAGUGAAAACCAUGGGCUCAACCCAUGAAUUGCUUUCAAAACUGCUGGCCUUGAGUAGUGCAGAGGUAGGCGGAAUUCCCGGUGUAGCGGUGGAAUGCGUAGAUAUCGGGAGGAACACCAGUGGCGAAGGCGGCCUACUGGGCACCAACUGACGCUGAGGCUCGAAAGCGUGGGGAGCAAAUAGGAUUAGAUACCCUAGUAGUCCACGCCGUAAACGAUGAAUAGUAAGUGUUGGAGUAACAUUCAGUGCUGCAGUUAACGCAAU
rnacentral:rRNA from 1 species